GACGAACGCUGGCGGCGUGCUUAACACAUGCAAGUCGAGCGAUGAAGCUUCUUCGGAAGUGGAUUAGCGGCGGACGGGUGAGUAACACGUGGGUAACCUGCCUCAUAGAGGGGAAUAGCCUUCCGAAAGGAAGAUUAAUACCGCAUAAGAUUGUAAUAUCGCAUGAUAUAGCAAUUAAAGGAGCAAUCCGCUAUGAGAUGGACCCGCGUCGCAUUAGCUAGUUGGUGAGGUAACGGCUCACCAAGGCGACGAUGCGUAGCCGACCUGAGAGGGUGAUCGGCAACAUUGGGACUGAGCCACGGCCCAGACUCCUACGGGAGGCAGCAGUGGGGAAUAUUGCACAAUGGGGGAAACCCUGAUGCAGCAACGCCGCGUGAGUGAUGACGGUCUUCGGAUCGUAAAGCUCUGUCUUUAGGGACGAUAAUGACGGUGCCUAAGGAGGAAGCCACGGCUAACUACGUGCCAGCCGCCGCGGUAA
rnacentral:rRNA from 1 species